rnacentral:rRNA from 1 species
AGCGAACGCUGGCGGCAGGCUUAACACAUGCAAGUCGAACGGCAGGACCCUAAGAGCGUGCUGUUCUGGGGGGGCGGACGGGGGAGGGAGAGGAGAAUAACCGGACCUUCACUUUCGUGGGGGUUCAGGAAGGGAGAGCUACUCCCAUAUCGCAUAUCCUCCUGCAGGGUGAGGGUGGGAUCGUUUCGCCGUGUGGGGAUGGACGCGCGGAUGUCGGAUUAGCUAGUUGGCGGGGUAAAGGCCCACCAAGGGGCCGAUCCGUAGCCGGUCUGAGUGGAUGAUCAGCCACACUGGAACUGAGACACGGUCCAGACUCCUACGGGAGGCAGCAGUGGGGAAUAUUGGACAAUGGGCGCAAGCCUGAUCCAGCCAUACCGCGUGGGUGAAGAAGGCCUUCGGGUUGUAAAGCCCUUUUGUUGGGAAAGAAAAGCAGCAGGUUAAUACCCCGCUGUUCUGACGGUACCCAAAGAAUAAGCACCGGCUAACUUCGUG